rnacentral:rRNA from 1 species
UACGGGGGGGGCAAGCGUUGUUCGGAAUUACUGGGCGUAAAGGGCUCGUAGGUGGCCAACUAAGUCAGACGUGAAAUCCCUCAGCUUAACUGGGGAACUGCGUCUGAUACUGGAUGGCUUGAGUUUGGGAGAGGGAUGCGGAAUUCCAGGUGUAGCGGUGAAAUGCGUAGAUAUCUGGAGGAACACCGGUGGCGAAGGCGGCAUCCUGGACCGGUAUUGACACUGAGGCGCGAAAGCCAGGGGAGCAAACGGG